CAUGACUCUAAGGAACAGCCGGCCCUCCAGCCACGCAACAACGGAAGCUAGACACGCUUUCCCGGGGAGGCACGCCCCUACGCAGAGAUAGACACGCCCCCAAGCACAAUGGCACGCCCCCUAUAGAGCGAGACACACCCCCGAGUCAAACUGCACUUGACUGUUAGGACGCUAGGAGCUCCCAUGCCUCGAAGUUGUAGUGGGCUCCAGCAGUUAGCUACUAUCUUUUGUUAGGGCUGAGGCAACACCGGUUAGGACUUGGGCAGCUUCACCACAGAACAGACUUUCUCAAGUUGACAUAUUUUAUUCUCAUGAAGUCCACCUUUUUUCAUUCACAUGGAAAAAGAGUGAUUAUGAAGUCAUGCUGUAAACUGUAACCUUUCUCAUUUACUUGGAUAUAAGAGUGUUCAACUCACUUAGCAAAGACGGUGCUACCUGAAUUGGAGGCUGGUGUCUUCUGACUCCUUCAACUCCCUUUGAGAUGUGGGAGUGAUGGUUGCAGCACAUCCUGCUUACUGAUGAUGAGAGCUACACACAGGAGGAAGUGGAACGGCGCCUUGGAAACAGUCACUACUGUGGUCAGUGCCUCCUGAGGACUGCACUAAACCACAGAAGAGGGUAAUAGAAGCUGCAUGCUGUUUAAAGUUCUGUUUGUGCCUCUGAAACUAGUCAUGACCACUGUGAGGUUUUUAUUUGGUUAGCUGUCUUUAGAGUAGCACGUAUAACCCCUUGAUAAAAUGUUUAAAGAAAACAGCAGUCUCUCUCACCACUGUCAGUCCUCUCUUUUCUGCUACUGAAAAAAAUCAAUGUGAGCCGAUGAACGGACGCCAAUACAGUUUAAAUAUGUGACCUAUAGCUUGGCUGCUACAUAUUAUUUUUUUUUCUUUUUUUCGGAGCUGGGGACCGAACCUAGAGCCUUGCGCUUGCUAGGCAAGCGCUCUACCACUGAGCCAAAUCCCCAACCCCAUAUUAUUUUAACAUACACCUAUAUCUCUAAGAUUUCUUAUUUAUAUGACUACACUGUUGCUGUCUUCAGACACACUAGAGGAAGGCAUCAGAUCCCAUUACAGGUGGUUGUGAGCCACUAUGUGGCAUGUGACUGUUAGAAAUUGAACUCAGGGCCUCUGGGAGAGCAGUCAGUGCCCUUAGCUAUAGAACCACCUCUCUAGUCACCAUGUAUUUGCUUGUUUGUUUGUUUAUAACAUAAAUAAGUACAGGUAGGCUUUGUUCUGGAUCUUUAUUUCCAUGAAAUAUGAAAAUAUGCACUGUUGAUGCUUUCUUCUCAUAAGAAUGAGGCUUAUGCCCAUGGAUGCUAUAGUGGUACGAACAUUACAUGGCUAACCAAUGGCUUUAGGAUCAGGUUUAAGGCCUACUUUACAGAAGAAAAAACAUGCUCACUUCAAUAAAUCUGACCAAGAACCCGCUACAAAUUUCUAAAUGGAAAUAGCUAAAUAGGUUAGAGUAAGGCUUUGCUUUGUAUUGUGAAAGUUGCUAGAACCAAGUUUAAUUUUAGCAACCUCUAAAGACAAAAAGGGUGGAGCAGAAAGGUCUCAGAUUAAAUACUCUCAUUGUCUCAGGGAGACUGAACGCAGACCUUCAUGCUUGUUAACAUGCACUCUGUCGCUGAACUUCAACCCCAGCCCCGAAGCAUUCUGAUUAAUAAAAGAACCCACGCUGUAAGAUGUGAAACGUUCAUCUAGACCUUAAAUACAAACUUAAAUUCCUAUAGCACUCAUACCCUCUGGAUUAUAGCAUAAGACUAAUGUACUCCGCAUGCAUUUUGUAAUUUCAUGGUCAUUCCAUGAUUUAGAGUGAGAUUGAAUAAAACUCUAAAGUGAAC
ensembl:lncRNA